CCCCGCCCCAAUCAUUUUCCAGCCGCCUCCCACCUCCUCUCCUCGAAUUCUGGCACCGGCCAACCCAUCAACUACCACUUGGCGUCGUCCAACUAGCCAGCCGCCGCGGGCCAGGAGCUCACCACCUCUCCCAUAGCGCCACGUCGCCUCCCUAGUGCCCACUUCGCCGCGACCCGCCUGGCCCAUUCGCGGCCCGCCCCGGGCCGCAACCGGGCCUGAGGCGCCCCGUCCUGCACUGCCGCCCGUCCCAUCGCCUCCUUGAUCGCGCCGCCCAGCUCCCGAGCAGUGCCUUCCGCGCCGAGCAUCGCCGGCGCCUCGCCAGAACCCCGCCUCGCCGGAUCCCCGCCGCUGUUCCCGCGCAGGUGCCUCACCCCACCAUGGAUCCGAUGCUCCCCGUCGGCCCUGUUUCGCCUCGCCCCGCCCGGAUCCGGUGGUCCUCAUCGUGGAUCCGCCGUCCCCGCCAUCAGAUCGCGCUCCUUCGCCGUCCCGCCGCAAGUCCCGCGCCACCUCCCUGUUUCGCUCCUGAUCGAGCAGGACGACGAGUGCUACCCCGAUUGACCGCGAGCGUGGCUGGGCCGCAACCGCUCGCCCUCGCUCUGCCGCGUGGGCCUCUACAGCGGCACCGGCCCAUGGGACAGCUUCGGCCUGCCUCCCAGCAUCUCCAGCCGAGCCCAGCAGCCGGCCUGCAGCGAGCCUCUUCACCGACUAGGCCUAAGCCCAUGUUGCAGGUGCCGAUAAUACCAGUGCAGGUGACGCACCCAGCUCAAGUGGGAGCUCGAU